AAUAGAUACCCUGGUAGUCCACGCCGUAAACGAUGAGUGCUAAGUGUUAGAGGGUUUCCGCCCUUUAGUGCUGCAGCAAACGCAUUAAGCACUCCGCCUGGGGAGUACGGUCGCAAGACUGAAACUCAAAGGAAUUGACGGGGGCCCGCACAAGCGGUGGAGCAUGUGGUUUAAUUCGAAGCAACGCGAAGAACCUUACCAGGUCUUGACAUCCUCUGACAACCCUAGAGAUAGGGCUUCCCUUUCGGGGGCAGAGUGACAGGUGGUGCAUGGUUGUCGUCAGCUCGUGUCGUGAGAUGUUGGGUUAAGUCCCGCAACGAGCGCAACCCUUGAUCUUAGUUGCCAGCAUUCAGUUGGGCACUCUAAGGUGACUGCCGGUGACAAACCGGAGGAAGGUGGGGAUGACGUCAAAUCAUCAUGCCCCUUAUGACCUGGGCUACACACGUGCUACAAUGGGCAGAACAAAGGGCAGCGAAGCCGCGAGGCUAAGCCAAUCCCACAAAUCUGUUCUCAGUUCGGAUCGC
rnacentral:rRNA from 1 species